rnacentral:lncRNA from 1 species
GGAUGUGCUAUUUAGAGGCAGAUCCAUGCGUCUGAAGCUUGGAAGUGAGCCUAGGAGUUUAUAAACAAGUUUACAGUGUCAUUUACCCAAGCUCCUCUCUCUCCAUGAUCUACCUGUUGCUUCUGGUUCCCUGUGGCUUCCUUUGCAAUCCUCCAGACAGAAAACUAACGUUUCAUCUGCCCUGCUUUUCUUUACACUCGCCACAGCUACAAUCAUAUUUCAGGCUUGAAUUUGGUGAAAACAUUCCUCAUGUCUGGGAAAUGAGCAAGAUGGAAACAGAAAGUCAAGGAAAAUGAAGAAAAAAGGGAAUAUUUCCAAACAAAAGAACAAGAUAAAACUUCAGAAACAGAUCUUAAUGAAAUGGGGGAUAAGUGACUUACCUGAUAAAGUGUUCAAAAUAAUUGUCAUAAAGAUGCUCACUGAUGUCAAGAGAACAAUGAGGGAACAAAGUGAGAGUUUCAACAAAGAUAUAGAAAACAUAAUAAAGUACCAAACAAGAAUCUCAAAGCUGCAGACGAUAAUGACUGAACUGAAAAAUUCAAUAGAGGGAUUCAACAGCAGACUAGAUCAAGUAAAAGAAAAGAUCAGUGAAUUCAAAGACAGGGCAGUGGAAUUCAUCCAAUCGGAGGAGCAAAAAGCAAGAAAGAACGAAAAAGAGGGAAGAUAGCUUAACGGACUUAUGGAAUAGCAACAACUGUGGCCCAAUAUAUGCAUCAUAGGGGUCUCAGAAGGAGAAAACAGAGAGAAAGGGGCAGAAAGUUUAUUCAAAAAAAUAAUGGCAGAAAAUUUCCCUAAAACCUGGAGAAAGAAACAAACAUCCAUAUCCAGAAAGCCCAGAGGUUUCAAAUAAGAAGAAUCCAAAGAGAUCUACACCAAGACAUAGUACAACCAAACUGUCAAAAGUUAAAGACAAGGAAAGAAUCUUAAAAACAGCAAGAGAAAACCACUUGUUAUGUACAAGGGAACCUCCAGAAGACUAUCAGCAGAUUUUUCAGCAGAAACUUUGCAGGCCAGAAGGGAGAAGCAUAACAUACUCAAAGUGUUGAAAGAAAGAAAAAAAAUCCCAACCAAGAAUAUGCUACCUGGCAAGGUUGUCCUUCAAAACUGAAGGAGAGAGAAGGAAUUUUCCAAACAAGCAAAAGUUAAAGGAGUUUAUCACCACCAGACUGGCCUUACAAGAAAUGAUACAGGGAGUUCUUCCAGCUGAAAAGAAAAGACAUUAAUUAGAAACAGGAAGACAUAGAAAAGUAUAAAUCCCACUGGUAAAAGUAAAUAUAUAGUUAAAUUCAGAAUACUCUAAUGUUGUAAUGGUGGAUAAAUAACUUAUAAAUCUAGCAUGAAUUUUAAAAGACAAAAGUAUUAAAAAUAACUAUAAUUACAAUAUAAUGCUAAUGGAUACACAAAGUAAAAAAGAUGCAAAUUCUGACACCAAAAACAAAAUAUGGAGACAGAGAGUCAAAAUGUAGAUCUUUAGUAUGUGUUUAAAGUUAAAUUAUUAUCAGCUUAAAAUAGACUGUUACAAAUAUAAGAUGCUUUAUGUAAACCUCAAGAUAACCACAAACAAGAACCUAUAGUAGAUACACAAAAGAUAAAGUGAAAUGAAUCUAAGCAUAUGACUACAGAAAAUCAUCAAAUCAUAAAGGAAGAGAGCAAGAGAAGAAAGGAAUAAAGAAAUUACAAGGGCUAGCCUGGUGGUAUAGUGGUUAAGUUCACUUGCUCCACUUGGGUGGCCUAGGGUUCAUGGGUUCAGGUUCUGAGUGUGGACUUACACACUGCUCAUCAUGCCAUGCUGUGGUGGUGUCCCACAUAUAAAAUAGAGGAAGACCGACACAGAUGUUAGCUCAGGGCCUAUCUUCCUCGCCAAAAAAAAAAAGAGGAAGAAAAGAAAAGAAAUUACAAACUGGCAGAAAACAAUUAACAAAAUGGCAAUAGUAAGUCCAUAUCUAUCAAUAAUAACUUUAAACAUAAAUGUACUAUAUUCUUCAAUCAAAAGAUACAGAGUAACUGAGUGGAUAAAAAAAGAAGACCCAAUGAUACACUGCCUACAAGAGACUCCCUUUAGAUGUAAGGGCACACACAGACUGAAGGUGAAGGAAUGGAAAAAUAUAUUCCACGCAAAUGGAAACCAAAAGAAAGCAGGGGUAGCUAUACUUAUAUCAGACAAAAUAGACUUUAAUCCAAAAACUGUAAAGGAGAAAAAUAAGGUCAUUAUAUAACAACAAAGGGGUCAAUCCAACAAGGGGAUAUAACAUUUGUAAAUAUUUAUGCAUCCAACAUAGGAGCAUUUAAAUAUUUAAGAAAAUAUUAACUGACCAGAAGGGAGAAAAAGACAGCAAUACAAUAAUAUUAGGGAACUUCAAUGCCCCACUUUCAAUAAUGGAUGGGUCAUCCAGCUGUGAGAAGGAAGUAAAUCCUGCCAUUUGUGACAAAAUGGAUGGAUGCUGAGGGCAUUAUGCCAAGGGAAAUAAGCCAGACAAAGACAAGUGCUGCAUAGUAUCACUUAUAUGUGGAAUCUUAAAAAAAAAAAGUCAAAACUUAUAGAAACAGAGAGCAGAAAAGUGGUUUCCAGGGACAAAAGGGGUUGAGGAAAUAGGGAGAGGUUGGUAAAAAGUUACAAACUUUCAGCUAUGAGAUGAAUUUGGUCUGAGGAUCUAAUAUAAAGCAUGGUGAUUAUUCUUGAUAACACUGUAUUAUAUAGUUGAAAUUUGCUAAGAGAGUAAAACUUAAAUGUUCUCACAAAAAAAAUAAAAUAAACAUAUGAGGGGAUAGAUGUGUUAACUAUCUAGAUGAGGAGAAUCUUUUCACAACGUAUACAUAUAUCAUCACAAUACAUAUUUUAAAAAUCUUAUAAUUUUUAUUGUGUUUGUUGAGGAACACUGGCCCUGAGCUAACCUCUGUUGUCAAUCUUUCUUUCCUUUGCUUGAUGGAGAUUGUUGUCGAGCUAACAUCUGUGCCAAUCUUCCUCCAUUCCAUAUGUGAGAUGUCACCACAGCAUGGCUUGAUGAAUUGUGUGUAGGUCUACACCUGGGGUACCCACAAACCCUGGGCUACCGAAGCGGAGAGUGUGAACUUAACCACUAUGCCACUGGGCCAGCUCCAAUCUUAUAAUUUUAUAUAUAAAUUAUACUUCAAUAAAGCUGAAAUUUAAAAGAAAGAAAGAAAAUCAAAGAAUCUGCAGUGAUAAUGCUUUUUGGAAAUAUUAAGGAAGAGGUCCAAACACUAGCAUGAAGGAUUCAUUAGAUGUCGACAGUUGUAAAGGAAUUCUGUUAGUAUCCACAACAGGGUGUGUGUCAGUCUUUGUCCAUUUCCAGCAGCCAUUGAUGAGUGAAGGACUACAUAGUCUCUCAUGGGUGGCCAUGACUUUCCCCUCUAGAGCCGACCAGAGCUGAUCACCAUGAUCUGGGGAUAUAAUUGUGAUGUUUCUUGGGCUGUAGAGCAGUGAAAAUUACACCGUUGCUAACGAGCAGUCAGCAAAACACCAGAGAACCAAGAAACAUAUGUUUUCUCAGGCUCAAACCUCUGGAGAAUCUCCCUAGAUCCAUAAUGUGGUGAUCAUUCUGAAGACUCUAAUAUGCUGAAACCUCUGCCCAAAGUGGUUAGAGGCACAUAGUUUGCAUAUCUUGAUAACGUUUCUAGAAAUCUAAAGUUGUGAUAACUUUAUUUAGCUCGUUCCAAUGUUAAGAUCUUUUCCUGUCAUACCUCUUUGAUCUAAAAUAUUGCCGUACUGUCAGCUCAGCUCAUUUCCUUCUCUUUGUGUUACCCAGAGUCUAACACAUUUUUAUCUUCGUGUAUGAAAAGUUAAAUAAAUUAAAGUAAAUCUCUAUGCAUUGUGGCUGCCCCAAAAUGAAAAUCUCAUACGGACCUAAUCACCUCCAUUGAAACCUAACCUAUCUGGUGUCCCAUCCAUUCUCAAGACCUUUAUUUACUACAUAUAUUAAUUCCUGAAGAUUUGCGUAAAGCCUCUUCAAUCUGAGGUAGCACUUGCAUUUUGGUGGCUCAUUUUGCAGCCUCUACAUCUUAUUCCAAAGAACUAACUCUGGGAGUUUGAGGAGACACAUUUUAAAGAACCCCAAACACUAUCCUAUUACAUUCUUUUAUCAUGCCUGGAUAAACGUCUACUCUGGCCCACCUAUAAUAAAGAAAGUAGACUAUUUUUUCAACAAAGGUGACUUGACAGUAUUUCCAACCCUUUAUCUUCUGUUCUCUUUCAAGACACCCCUAAGUCACCUAUUCGCACACAUCUCUUCUUUUGGAAAGAAGAGUUAUGGUACAGGGCAAGACUGUACUGAUGCUAAGACUUUCAGACUACUAUUGAGUUUCUUUCCUCAGCGUUUGAUGUUUCACUGGCUGGCUGGCUCAGUAUUCACGAUGCUUUGUCAGUGUCUCAAGUUAUGUUUGGAAAAGAACUUGUCCAAAUUCUCCAUUUCUCCUCCACUCACUGCAAUUGGCGGUGGCAUGGCAAUUCUCUUCAAGGUAAACAUGAAGAAACCCGAAGGCGAUAAUACUCGCCUUUCAGUUGGAGUAAUUACCUGGCCUCUACCAACUGCAGACUUCUGCGUGUUGAUAGGACUCAUUCGACAGGUUCUUUUUUAAAAUAGGUAAUGAUCUUUAAAGGAUGAAACCCUACUUCAUAACAUGCAAUUUUGCUAACCACUCUGUUUAGAAAACCGGGUUCCCUCUGGUUUCCCAGCGCUGGUAGCUCCGCUUGACGCAUGAAGUUGGGGCUGCCUCGGUCAUGCCACUUUAGAUUACUGGAUCUCACAGGAUGCUACAAGGCAGACACACCCCAGGCUGACUCACUGAGUGGGAAGUUUAAAAAGAUGGUUUUCCUCAGCCAUCAAUUAGAUAAACCACAUUUUCCAGGAGAAAAACAGCAUCUUGAAAAGCUCUUUACAAACAAAGCUCUCUUGCUCAGAAUGCUUUCGGUCAUGUUUUCUUGUGAAGGGAAGUAUGACUUUAACCUUAAUUGCACUGACAAAUUAGCAAGUAAAGUAUAAUGCCACCCUUUCCCCUCUUCCUUCCUUCCUUCUUCUUUUUUUUUUUUUUCCUCAGAAGGAGACACUUUCAUGAUUUUAGCUUUGGUAAAAUUAGAGCAUUCUUCCUCUUGGCCACUUCCCUCAAAUUUGUGGUUUUGACCAACCACUUGGUGAGCAAGUUAUAGACGCAGGCCUGAAUUCUCUUUCCUCUGCCCCACUUACACUUCUUUGUACAGUUUUCCCUACCUUUUUUGCGACCUUCUUGAAAAUACACUGAGGAAAGGACAUUUGUAGAUUGUACCAUUUUGAAAAUGGCGAUUUGGAUUGAAGAUGUAUGUCAGGAAGAAUUAAGCACUGAAAAGCGAUUUGAACCUCCUCGCCUCAUCUUUUUCCAGCGCUGGCUGCACGCGGAAAGUACUGGAUAAAUGUCUCCCACUGAACUGUAAGAUUCCCAAGGACAAAGGACGUGUUAGUGGUUUCCAUCGCCUGUAUACAGUGUACCUAACACACAUUGAGUAAUAUUUUCAAAAGCAGGCCAUCCUCAUCAUGUAAAAGAAUAAAUAAGAGAAAAACCAUGCAAUUGAAUAUUUUGCACAGAACCUUAUUUCCUUACUCACCUGAAACUUGAGACCAAGGCGACACAGAUAUUCUGGGCCUGAGGACCCCUUGCACAUAAUUUUGAUAGAGACAUCUCUUGGAUCUGAGACCAGUAGGUGAUUAUCACUAUCCCCUUGCUGCACUCCUCUUGUGAGGGAAAGCUGCUGUUGGGUAUGUGGAUGCUAGGGAUCCGGGAACACGAAGGCAUCACCCUGCUUGCAGGUCUUGUAGAACUUUGUCUGCACUGGAGUCAACUUACAGCAGCCAAAGAAACUAGACGGAUCCUGGUGGAUGACAGUAGUCUACUGCAAACUCCACCAAGAGAUAAGAGAGAAGAGCCGCAGAGACAGACACAAACAGUGAGGAGAACGCAUGUGAAGACACAGCCAUGUGACAACAGAGGCAGAGAUGGGAGUUAUAUAGCUGUAAAUUAAAGAACACAAAGGAUUGCUGACAACCACAAGAAGCUAUGAGAGACAGCAUAGCCCUGCCAAGACCUUGACUCUAGACUUCAGGCCUGAAGAACUGUGAAAGAAGAAUUUUCUGUUAUUGUAAGUCAUCCAGUUCAUGGCAGUUUGUUACUGUAGCCCUAGGAAACUGAGACAGGACCACUUUCACUCUUGGCAGGGGCAGCCAUUUAUUUCAUCUAGAACUGAUGCAUAUUGUGAGUAUAGUUUGCCUUUCCUGCCUGCAGGACCUUGGCCCGCACAACUGAAGGCAUACAGUGAUUGGCCAACACAGAACAGAGACCACUACCUAACAUUGUCUCGGACCAAGGGCCUCACUUUACAGCCAAGAUGGUACAGCAAUAGACACAUUUCUAUGGGAUCCAAUUGGUCGUAUCACAGAACACUACCAAGCAUAUAGUGUCCUCCUAGAGCAACUGAAUGGCUUUUUGAAGGUACAGCUGAGGCAUCGACUUGAGAAUGAUGCCUUAAAAAGAUGGGAUGCCAUCCUCCAGGAUAUAUCUCUGCAACCUGUAGGUCUAGAGUUCCUGGUCCCCAGAUGGGGAGUGUUUCCACUAAGAAAACAGCUAGAGUUUGAUUGAGCUUUAAACUACAGGUACUGCCCAAUCCCUGAAGACCCCUUCUAUCAAGAGAACAGCAGACAAGAAAAGGGGAUAACUGACUUUAAUCAUCUUCAGGAGGAGGUGGGGCUGCUGAUAUACGACGCAGACAAGGAAGAAUACCUUUGGCACCUAUGUGAACCACUAUAUCAUCUCUUGCAUCUCCCUUGCCAAAUUUUGACAGUAAACGGACAAGUGCAGGAGCCAUAUCCUAAGAAGGCCAUGAUAAUUAGAUCACAUCUUUAGGGGAUAAGGGGCUGCGUCAUGCCUUCUGUAAGUCACUGAGACCAACAGAAGUGCUAGUAGGGGGUGAGGGGAAUCUAGAAAAUGUGGUGGAGAAGGGGAAUUAUGAGUUACAAGCUUGAGUAACUUGAGUAAUUAGUUACUUGAGUAAUUAGGUGCAAUCACCAAACUUCCUCUUGUAAAUUUCCCCAGAAAAGAGAACAAGCAGAAUCCCGAUGCUGUAGUGCAGCACCCAAAUCCACCACGGCACUCAUUCCCCGAGCUGCCUGGAGUGUUGACUGCUGACAGGUUAUAGUUGACUCUCUCUGGAAGAAUUGCUUUUGGCCGAAGGGAGCUGCCUUACCCAAUGUGAUAUCAUAUUCUCUUCGUGGAAGUAGUCCAGAUGCAACAUUUGGUAGAUGUGGGGGUUAAAAGGCCUGGCCCCUUUACCCAAUUUGGGACAUCUCUGAAGAGCCCACCAGCUCCAGAGCUCCCCAUGAUAUCCACCGAGGCCUCUGAUGAACCCGCACCACGGUUCAACUUCUCCCUCUACCCCACCCUACUUGUCUCACUCCUUCUCAGGUAUUGACUGCAAGGACAUAAACUUCUGCACAUAAAUUCCCAUCUCAGAGUCUGUUUCCCAGGGAACCCAAGCCAAGACAAGGGUUUACUGUGGAACUUUAGCAGCUGAUCCUAAAAUGUAUAUGCAAGUGAAAAAUCCAGGAAUAAUCAAGAAACUCCUCAAGAAGAACAGAGUUGGGAAAUGGGUGGUGGUGCUGGAGGGACCUGCACUAUCAGACAUCAAGACUUGUCAUAAAGAUGUGGGAAAUUAAAUGUAUACCUUUGCAACAUAAAAACACAGAUAAACAACUAAUGGAGAACUGAACAUAGACCCAAACAUAGACGAAAGCUUGAAUCGUGAGAGCGGAUCUCAGGGAUCAUUGAAGGAAAGAUGGACUGUUCAGUAAUUGUGUUGUGAAAAUUCACUGUUUCAUACUAUAUGCAAAACUAAAAUCCAAGUGGAUUAGUGACUUAAACGUAGAAGAUAAAACUAUAAACUUUUAGAUGAGAGCAUAAGAGAGUAUCUUUAUCACAUCAGGGUUGGGAAGGAUUUCUUAAACAAGACACAAAAAAGCAUAAGCCAUAAAAGGAAAAAUUAAUGUUUGACUAUAUUAAAAUUAAGGACUUCUUGUCAUCAAAAGUCCCCAUGAACAAAAUGAAAAACUAAUUCACAAACUAGAAAAAUAUAUUUGAAAUUUAUACAGCUAUAAAGGAUUACUGUCUAGAAUGUAUAAAGAAACCCUACAGACCAAUAAGAAAAAGUAAAUCCUCCAGUUUUGAAAUGAAAGACACGAGCAGGUAUCUUUUACCACAUUAAUAUAAAUCUUUAAAAAGCAAUUUAUAAUAAAAUGAGAAGUGUCUAAAAAUUUAUACACAAGAUAUACACACGUUUGGCCAGGGAAGGUGUUUGUUGGUUUUCAGACUAUAAAUGUAGACUAACACUCAUAUAUUUUGCUCAUCUACGUACAGUUCUUGAUACUUUUCCAGUGAUUUCAAUCUUCACUAAAACCCCAUCUUAAAAAAUAUUCUUAACAUGCUAUUUAACUAUUAAGCAAAAAUUGGCUUCAUCUCUACUAUUCAAGCACAAUUCUUAAAAGAAUUAAAAUUAACUAAUUGAAAUUCUUAAUCUUUAAUUAAAAUUAAUUACAAAUUAGAAUUCUUUAAUGUGUGUGUAAUAGUUGUGAAAAGGUAUUUUAUAUAUUUAUACACUAUAAAUAUUGGAGCUUUUUACCGAAGUAAAAUUGACAUACAAUAUUAUAUUAAUUUCAGAUUUACAACAUGGUGCUUCAACAUUUAUAUACAUUACAAAAUGAUCAUCACAAAAAGUCUAGUUACAAUCUGUCCCCAUAAAAUGUUAAUACAAUAUUAUUGUCUAUAUUCCCUGUGCUGUACAUUACAUCCCCAUGAC